rnacentral:rRNA from 2 species
UUGACCUCGGAUCAGGUAGGAAGACCCGCUGAACUUAAGCAUA